CGCAGGGUGGAGCAGUUUGGUAGCUCGUCGGGCUCAUAACCCGAAGGUCGUAGGUUCAAAUCCUAUCCCUGCUA
rnacentral:tRNA from 1 species